UACGAAGGGGGCUAGCGUUGCUCGGAAUCACUGGGCGUAAAGCGCCCGUAGGCGGGUUCUUAAGUCAGGGGUGAAAUCCUGGAGCUCAACUCCAGAACUGCCUUUGAUACUGGGAAUCUCGAGUCCGGGAGAGGUGAGUGGAACUGCGAGUGUAGAGGUGAAAUUCGUAGAUAUUCGCAAGAACACCAGUGGCGAAGGCGGCUCACUGGCCCGGUACUGACGCUGAGGUGCGAAAGCGUGGGGAGCAAACAGG
rnacentral:rRNA from 1 species